UGGAGGGCAAGUCUGGUGCCAGCAGCCGCGGUAAUUCCAGCUCCAAUAGCGUAUAUUAAAGUUGUUGCAGUUAAAAAGCUCGUAGUUGAAUUUCGGGGUUCAUACGUUGGUCGGGCUUUUUGGUCUGUACUUAUGUAAUGGAUUCCUACCUUCUGAAUAACCGGCAUGCCAUUAAUUUGGUGCGCCGGGGAAGCAGGACUGUUACCUUGAAAAAAUUAGAGUGCUUAAAGCAGGCUAUCGCCUGAAUACAUUAGCAUGGAAUAAUGAAAUAGGACGGCAUGGUUCUAUUUUGUUGGUUUCUAGGAUCACCGUAAUGAUUAAUAGGGAUAGUUGGGGGCAUUAGUAUUCAAUUGUCAGAGGUGAAAUUCUUGGAUUUAUUGAAGACUAACUUCUGCGAAAGCAUUUGCUAAGGAUGUUUUCAUUAAUCAAGAACGAAAGUUAGGGGAUCGAAGACGAUCAGAUACCGUCGUAGUCUUAACCAUAAACUAUGCCGACUAGGGAUCGGACGAUGUUAAUUUUUUAAUGACUCGUUCGGCGCCUUACGGGAAAC
rnacentral:rRNA from 1 species